rnacentral:rRNA from 1 species
UACGUAGGGGGCUAGCGUUGUCCGGAUUUAUUGGGCGUAAAGAGCGUGUAGGCGGCCAGGUAGGUCUGCUGUGAAAACUCGAGGCUCAACCUCGAGACGCCGGUGGAAACCAUCUAGCUAGAGUCCGGAAGAGGAGAGUGGAAUUCCUGGUGUAGCGGUGAAAUGCGCAGAUAUCAGGAAGAACACCCGUGGCGAAGGCGGCUCUCUGGGACGUGACUGACGCUGAGACGCGAAAGCGUGGGGAGCGAACAGG